CUCAAUAUCCUCCCAUCUAACCCGCCAUAUUGUACUCACUGUCCUCCCCCACUAGUUCAGCUGAUUUAUAAAUAAAAUACACAUGGUUGUUGUUCUGCCGAUUAUCAAACAAAUGCUGUCUGCCUGCUCCUUCAGGUCUCAGGGAGCGAGUCAAUCCCAGAGGAAGUCACUGAAGAGAGAGAAGCCCAGACUCCUCCAGGAAUUUGAUGACCCUGCACUGAUCCCGGAUAAUUAGGCAAUGAUGCUAAAGCCUACAGUAUUGAAACUCUGAGCCGAGUGACAGUGGGGGAAUAUGUGUCCAGACAACAUGGAAGAGACAAGACCUGAGCAUCAAGCUACGUAGCCAAGAAGGUCUAUGCUGAAGAAGCCCAGUGUGUUCCUACAGUCUCCUCCCCUGCAGAACUCUCAAGCAACUGAUAGGGCAAUGUCUCUGCAUUCCGUUUGGGGGAGAGAAGGUACAGCCUGGUUUGACUUUCUUCAGGCAGCUCCAACAGAUGGACUAAACAGGGGGCCAUAAAAGCCCAGUGUGUUCCUACAGUCUCCUCCCCUGCAGAACUCCUUUGCAAGCUGACGAUGGCUCUGCAUUCCGUUUGGGCAGAAGAUGUACGAGGCUGAUAACCCAGCACUAUCCCAGAAGAGACCCCUAUUGCACCAUCCCACCGCAAGGAGGCAAAUUGUCAGCCCCCUGUAAUACCCCCGAGUAGCAUUUUCUAAAGAUAAUUAAAUGGCAGUUUGUACUGUUGUUUGAAAAUGUAACUUUUAUAAAUAAAUAAAUAAAUAAUUAUGGA